AGGAUGAAAAUAUUGAUGUAGCAU
rnacentral:miRNA from 1 species